CCUCCAUCUCCUGGGCUCAAGCAAUCCUCCUGCCUCAGUUUUCAGAGUAGCUGGGACUACAGGCAUGGGCCACCACUCCCAGUUAACUGUCCUUAGAUUUAAAUAAUGCUUAUAACAUCCCUCUCGCUGCACCUUCCAGCUCUAAGGCUGCCUGCGCAGGUGGUGAGCGGCGCCCUCGGCGCUCCCCGUGCACUGCGCCUGGAGACCCUGCGGGCACGUGGCGGGCGCUCGUGCUGCUGCACGCUCACUGUUGUUUCACUCUUUGUCCCAAUCCUAUUUUGAGAAUCUCUGAUUCUUUAGGUUUUAGUUAACUAAGAAUUCUUUUGUUUUUCAGUAUGGUUAUUUACUUUUAAAAAAUCAUUUUUAAGAUUUGCUGCUAGAGAUCUUAGUUUAUCUUGAAAUCAGGAAACAAAAACAAAAGUACUUUAACAUACCAGUUUCUUAGUAAGAGCUGGUUCUAGGCUAUUAUUUCUCUGAGCCUACCUGUUUAGAACCAGUCAGGUAUGAUGUUUAAACUAGGGUUUUCCUCAAAAUACAUUCUAAAAAGCUACUCAGCUCAGGUACACUGAACAGAUACUAAUGUUCAGAAAACACUUUGGUGAAUAAAUAACUGCAUUUUCUUUUUGGGGGCAGGAAGGGGCACAAUGCCCAGGCUACCUGACGUAUAUACCACACCACGGCAUCUUAGGUAAAUUACUUAACCCAUUUGUCCGCCAGUUUCAUCUGUGAAGUAGGAAUUUUAUAAGGAACUGUGGGAAUUAAAUAGAGGGUGCAUAUGAAAGCCUGAAAUAGUGGCAAAACCAGGACAGAUUACUGAAUAUUUGUCUGACUAUGAUUCCAGGUCUCACUUUGUACAAAAGGUCCACAGGGUUUCAUCCAACUCUGUCAUUCUAUGACUUAAUGGUCUGGAUUAUAAAAAAAUAAAAUGAUGACACUCUUGCCAAAAUGAUUGCCUCCAAAUAGUUUAAACAUUUUUCUAGAUAUUAGCAACCUAGCUUCUACUGGUCUGUUCUACAUGGGUGCUCAU